rnacentral:RNase_P_RNA from 1 species
GCGAGUUGGUGUGUGGCUUUCGAGCCUUAACAAUGGAAGGCUUGAGGAAACUCCGCCCACGCGUAGAAUUGCAGCGCCUGCAAGGGCGCAAGGUGAGAACCUUGGCAACGGAGCAGAAACGAAACGUCCGCUCGGCAAGCGACGAUGAUGCAUAUAAAAUUGUUGAGGAUGCCAAGCGAGAAACGGUGAAACGGCCGACCUGCAAGUGGAAAGGGCAAACAGACGCUGAUGAGGACUCUACCCGAAGCGCGGGUAGCCCGAUUAGCCGAAUGCCACAGUCAACUAAAGGCGGGUUACAGCCAACACGC